GAUGAACGCUGGCGGCGUGCCUAAUACAUGCAAGUCGAGCGAACGGACGAGAAGCUUGCUUCUCUGAUGUUAGCGGCGGACGGGUGAGUAACACGUGGAUAACCUACCUAUAAGACUGGGAUAACUUCGGGAAACCGGAGCUAAUACCGGAUGAUAUUUUGAACCGCAUGGUUCAAAAGUGAAAGACGGUCUUGCUGUCACUUAUAGAUGGAUCCGCGCUGCAUUAGCUAGUUGGUAAGGUAACGGCUUACCAAGGCAACGAUGCAUAGCCGACCUGAGAGGAUGAUCGGCCACACUGGAACUGAGACACGGUCCAGACUCCUACGGGAGGCAGCAGUAGGGAAUCUUCCGCAAUGGGCGAAAGCCUGACGGAGCAACGCCGCGUGGGUGAUGAAGGUCUUCGGAUCGUAAAACUCUGUUAUUAGGAAAGAACAUAUGUGUAAGUAUCUGUGCACAUCUUGACGGUACCUAAACAGAAAGCCACGGCUAACUACGUG
rnacentral:rRNA from 1 species